UAACGUAGUUACUGUAACGCGUUACUUAACGCGUUAGUCCCAACACUGCAUAUAAACCCUGCCAUAUGUUAGACCUGGUCAUUUUGCUUAUAAGAAACUUUAUAUAUUGGAAGUUAGCUUUUAAUAAGCAUGUAAUGAUGAUAUAGAUGGUCUUUUUUUAAACACAUAUCUCUUUAGGCCUAAACUGACAGUGCCAAUACCACACAUUCAGACACAGUAGUAGAUGGUGUUUUUAAUACUAUGUUAGUCUAAUUUGGUUGUAUGGGGUCUACAUGGACCCUCUGUGUUGUAAGUUAUUAUGACUGCACAGCCAUUAAGGAUCAAAUCAACUUCUGAAAAAUGUUGUUUUUUCUCCCUCUGCUUGCUUCUUACUGUCUUUGAGGCUCGGGACCAGCACUCCUGCUGUUGGACAGAAAGACAUCAACUUGAGAUAUGACUGCACUAUGCUGUUGCUGGGACUCCAGUUAAUUCUACAAGACGUGCUGUGACACCAGGAGAGAUGAGUCCUCCGUCACAGAUGGUGUGGUCAGUGAAGAUGGUCGCCUGCAGGUUCAAGCUCAUUGCAUCUCCAACCCACAUCCACUGCCACUGUACUGAAGGGAAGUUACAGACCUUCUUCUGCACCUACAUGUGGAUCACCUCGAUCCAUGACAGUCAUUCAGGCAGUAAUGCCUGGACUGGAAACAAGCAUCCUUAAAACAUUACAACAUUCCAGCUCCUGUGUUGGAAUGAAAAACAAAUGUGUUGUUUAAAUCAGAGACUGCACUUGUGACAGAACAACAAAUAUUUUAUUUUGAUUAUAUAAGUAAUGUAAGUACAAAACGAACUUGUGGUAGGCCUAAACUUAUUUUCAGAAUAAUUACAUCUGAGACUUUGUUUCAUUGUAAGAUUAUAACAGUGAUGGCAACAUAACUGUUUGUUGCUCAGCAGAACAGUGUCAAGUAUGUUGGCUGUUAUACUUUGUUGUGUUUGAAAAUAAAAGUUGGGCUGAUUUUAACCUUAA